rnacentral:rRNA from 1 species
GAUGAACGCUAGCGGCAGGCUUAACACAUGCAAGUCGAGGGGUAUAGUUCUUCGGAACUAGAGACCGGCGCACGGGUGCGUAACGCGUAUGCAAUCUACCUUUUGCAGAGGGAUAGCCCAGAGAAAUUUGGAUUAAUACCUCAUAGUAUAGCAGUUUCGCAUGAAACCACUAUUAAAGUCACAACGGCAAAAGAUGAGCAUGCGUCCCAUUAGCUAGUUGGUAAGGUAACGGCUUACCAAGGCUACGAUGGGUAGGGGUCCUGAGAGGGAGAUCCCCCCACACUGGUACUGAGACACGGACCAGACUCCUACGGGAGGCAGCAGUGAGGAAUAUUGGACAAUGGGCGCAAGCCUGAUCCAGCCAUGCCGCGUGCAGGAUGACGGUCCUAUGGAUUGUAAACUGCUUUUGUACAGGAAGAAACACUCCCUCGUGAGGGAGCUUGACGGUACUGUAAGAAUAAGGACCGGCUAACUCCGUGCCAGCAGCCG